rnacentral:hammerhead_ribozyme from 1 species
AUCCAGAUGACGAGUGCCAGAUAGGACGAAACCAGCAUUCUGGAU